rnacentral:rRNA from 1 species
GACGAACGCUGGCGGCGUGCUUAACACAUGCAAGUCGAACGGAAAGGCCCUGCUUUUGUGGGGUUCUCGAUUGGCGAACGGGUGAGUAACACGUGAGUAACCUGCCCUUGACUUUGGGAUAACUUCAGGAAACUGGGGCUAAUACCGGAUAGGAGCUCCUGCUGCAUGGUGGGGGUUGGAAAGUUUCGGCGGUUGGGGAUGGACUCGCGGCGUAUCAGCUUGUUGGUGAGGUAGCGGCUUACCAAGGCUUUGACGGGUAGCCGACCUGAGAGGGUGACCGGCCACACGGGAACUAAGACACGGUCCAGACUCCUACGGGAGGCAGCAGUAGGGAAGCUUCCGCAAUGGGCGAAAGCCUGACGGAGCAACGCCGCGUGAGUGAUGAAGGUCUUCGGAUCGUAAAACUCUGUUAUUAGGGAAGAACAUAUGUGGAAGUAACUGUGCACAUCGUGACGGUACCUAAUCAGAAAGCCACGGCUAACUACGUG